UACGGAGGGUGCGAGCGUUGUCCGGAAUCACUGGGCGUAAAGCGCACGCAGGCGGCCGUGCACGUGGGGUGUGAAAGCGCUCGGCUUAACUGAGCGAUGCCACCUCAUACGGCAGGGCUCGAGCCCGUGAGAGGUCCACGGAAUUGCCGGUGUAGUGGUGAAAUGCGUAGAGAGUCGGCAGGAACCAGCCCAGGGGAACGAGUGGACUGGCACGGUGCUGACGCUCAGGUAGCGAAAGCGUCGGGGAGCGAACCGG
rnacentral:rRNA from 1 species